ensembl:lncRNA
CAUGAUAUGAUUCUACCCGCUGAGCCCUGGAUGCCAGAGGGUGAGGAGCUGGUGCUGGUUGACAUAUGGUGUCAGAAAGUGGGAACUGAAUCGAUCUCACCUUCAUGGACUGGCAUCCUCUGGAAAUGGCUACAAUACCUACACGAGUCCCUUGUGUUCACCACUUCUAUGGACCGCUAGUUCCUCCAAUAGUAAAAGAAGCUUUCCUGGAUUCCAACUUAAAGCAUCCUAUUGGUCAGUCUAGAGCCUGGUGACUAGGUAUUCUGGAAGCAUCAUCAGAGGAAGACAGCCCUCAAGCCUUGUUGGAAAGGAUCUUACCAAGUGCUCCUGACCACUGAUACUACUGCAGAACUAGAAGGCAUUGAACCUUGGAGAUACAUCUCACAGCUAAAGAAGGCUACACCCAACAUUUGGUCCUGUGUGAAUGCUGGAGACCUCCAAAUCAAACUGACCAGAAAGAGAAGCAGCCAACAUCUGAAACAGAUAGCUUUUCCAAGAUGGCUGCACCAAGCCUGUACACCUUUUAUUCACUGUUGCACCUUACCUUAUUUUCUGUCUGUCUGUCUUGGAAAGACAAUACUCUUAUCCACAUCUCCCAAUCUAUUACCAAAAGGGUAAAUCUUUCUGACUGUUGGGUUUGUCAUCAGAAACCUCAUUCUGUACAUGAAUCUAGAGAAUCUUUUAGCACAUUUAAUUACCAAUCUCUCCACCAUUCCUCUCCUAAUUCCUUAUGCUGUCUAGAACUCCUUGCCUAACCAAUUGAACCUCCAGAGAUUGAACUGGUAACAUUGUAACUAUUGUAAAUGCCUCUUGUUGAACUUGGGUAAACACCUCCAGCAAGGUAAAGACAGAACUAGACAGAAUUUGAGCACAAGCUGAAAGAUUCGAUGCAGUGCCCACUGACAUCCUGUAGUUCUUUGAUCUGUUUAGCUGGCUACCCUCAAGAACUGUCUCUUGGUUCAGGUCUAUUCUGCAAUUUGGACUUAGCAUUUUGUUUAUUAUUAUAGAAAUUCUCACUUUUGUAAAACGUCUCUUCUGCAUGGCUUGAUGUUAUAAAAACACCACUUGGAUAAUGGUCGCUCAGUGUUUUGAAAUGAUUGCUAAAGCUUACAAGCCUUCACCUGAGAAACUUCAAGGAACUAAAGACAAUGUCUGCCCUUGAAAGAACUUGAUGGUAAGGCUUUUCUCUGCUCUGGCACUCCUGUUCUUCAAAUGUGGCCUAGGAUCUUAAGGAAAACACUUUCCCUCCUACAUGGGACAGGAAAUACUAGGAAUGAGCCUUCCUGGUUAUGAGAGACCAACAGUGCUUUGAUGACUGAUCAGCAAUACUUUCCAAGAAAGAUCUUGAUCAAAAGGGGAAAAAUGUCAAAAUUGACUUUAGUGGAGCCAUUUUAAAAUGGAGUUGGAGCUGCCUCUCCAGAGAAAGUGCCCUGCCGUUUUGAACCUUGGACUGGGCCAAACCUUUGGACUGGGCCAAAAUGGCCACUGUUUUACAAGCAAUUGUUUGAGGAGUCAGUAGGAGAAUGGACAUCCUGAUCACAAAGGCUGAGGAUUGCGGACUUUCUGAAGAUAGAAUCAAUACUCAAUCAAUGCUUAGCCAAGACUAACUUCUGCCUCCAACUCCAGUUAAAAUUCUUUGUAACAUAAACCUCCCUUCUUUGCCUUUAAAAGCCCCUGACUUUUACUUCCUAGCUGGAUGCUAUCUGUGCUCCCCAAAAUGAAAUUCUUUGAUCCCA